AAGCCUGCAGUCACCUCUGCACGGCCCGCCGACUGUUGCAUUAUUCAUGAGUGCCGCAGAUCGCGCCCCCUAUGGGCCUGGAGAAGCACACAGUCACCGCCCCGAUGUGCUGCAUAUUCAUGAAGCGUGGAUGGCCCCACCUCUCAAGGCACCAGAGGGGGCCACUUCCGUGCCGGGACUCCGCCCCGACACGCGCACACCUUCAGGCCCCGCCUCUAUAUGCAUAAUUCAUGACCCUGGCUCAGCCAGGCGAGGGUCGAAGCCACACCCCACUGGCCGCUGACGUGAUGCAUUAUUUAUGAGGUCUCUCCAAGCCUUCCGUCCCUGGUUUCUGUCGAGAGCCGUAGCCAGUGCGUGAAGGGGGCGGGGCUGGUGCAAAACACGUGGGGGGCGGGGCCGCUAAUAGCCGGUGAGUGGGCGUGGCUAUGCAAACCGAGCGCGCGUUGGACGCUGGAUUGGACUAGUGGAGCUUCCCGUAAGGAAGAAGUCUAUUUUGCUACCCCAGCAGGAUGAAGGAUGAUUUUCUCCUGGCCGAGCCGAUGAUAACCUGCCACCACUCAGCCAAUGAGAAACUGUCACUACCUUGAACUCUUGCUUUCCUCCAAAUGAGACCCUCCCAAAUUCCUCCUUUUCUGUAAGGAGCUGAGAGAUUUUAUCAAUCUCUGAUCCUAUCAGUGGGGGAACUGAGGCUGGAAACAGCACUGACUUGCCCAGGCAAGCUUCUCUUGGACUCCUGGGUCUCCUAAUCUACAGGAAGUUCAUGACUUUUCUCUUUCCCUUCAAUCUAAUUACAAACAGUAACCAUAGGAUGAAGAUUUUGAGCUAAGAGAGGAAAGUGAAGUUCAAAGACCUUGUUAUAUCGCUACCAAAGUGACCUCCUUAGUUCUGCUCACCACUGCCAAGUUGGCACUAUUAUCCAUUGAUCCUCUAACCAUAAACUGCUGAGCCCGAGGCAAUGCUAGAUUUCUUGAAACACUCUCCCAUACCUGCCGUUAAUAUCUCCAUUUACAAAAGGUGAAACUAAGAGAUGUGAGGCAGCACUCAAGGGCAGUGGCACCGCCGGCGAGCAGGCUGGCUGGAACUUGAAUUUAAUAUCUUUCUGACCCAGAACCCUCCUGAUUAGGCACCUGGGUCCCUUUCCCUAUAUUUCCUCAUUGAACACCCUCAGCACAGGACCUAGCAUGGAGUAGGUGCUCAGGAAAUGUGUUGAAUGAAUAAAUGACAUUUAAUUCUCACAACACAGCUAUCAGCCCAUUUUGUAGAUGAGGAGAAUGAGACUUAGAAAGGUUUCACAUCCAGCCUGCCUAAGCCUAGGGUCAAGGCUCUGGAAUCCUCUAUCCUUCACCUGGGAUCAGUCCUUCCUACCUGGAAGAUGCUAGCACUUGCUCAGACACACUGAGCCCUCUGCCCACUGUCUGGGCCCAGCGGUUUACCCAGGAGCUAGGCCAGGUAAAUAUUGGAGCAAGAAGGACUGCACUGCCCAGAGGGAUCACAGAAGGGCAGGAUUAGGUGAGGCAUGGGCAGUCUGGAGUGAAUGAUGGGGAGGAUAGAGACAGCUGGACUGCUGAAUGGAGAACAUGGGAGGAGCCAGCUUUGAAGGCUGACCAGCUCACUGUAUGACUUUGGGAAAGGCAUGACCCCUUUCUGAGCCUCUGUGGAUUUAGCUCACAGACAACAGUAGUAACACUGAGUGCUUAAAAUGCCCCCAGCUCUGGGUUCAGUGCUUGGCAUCCAGGAUUACCUUCUGGAAACUGAGGCUUGAAGAGAAGAUAAUUAAGAACAGGGGCACCUGGCUGGCUCAGUAGGGGGAACAUGAAAUUCUUGAUCUCAGGGUUGUGAGUUCAAGCCCCACGUUAGG